rnacentral:rRNA from 1 species
UACAGAGGUCUCGAGCGUUAGGCGGAAUCACUGGGCUUAAAGCGUGUGUAGGCGGAUCGUUAAGUACCUUGUGAAAUCCCACGGCUUAACCGUGGAACUGCUUGGUAUACUGGCGGUCUUGAGCCAGCUAGGGGCUACCGGAACAAAUGGUGGAGCGGUGAAAUGCGUAGAUAUCAAUUUGGAACGCCAAUGGUGAAAACAGGGUAGCUGGGGCUGUGCUG